GAACUAUUUCAGUGAGCAAUAAGCAUUUUGUCACCACCCUCGUCAUCUCCGUCUUCGUUUUCUCUCAAAAACCCUAGCUCUGCGUUCCCUAACUUCUCCUCAUUCGAUUCAAUGUUUCCCAAUCCCACUCCUCCCUUCAAUCCUACAUCCACUGAAAGCCUUCCAAUUUGAUACAAAAUCCAGGGCCAAAGCCCCAGCCAGCGGAAAGAUGCGAAUUUCUCUCGCUGUUUCACCUAUCCAACACCCCCUUUUGAGUCCUCGCCUCCAUCGAUCCCAUUCAUUCUCUGUCUUCCAUAAUCCCCUGAAACUCUCCCUUUCCUCCAAAUUUUCUGUCUUUUCUGCCUCUUGCUCUCCAUUUCGGUGUUUCCCGGAGCCCCGAAGGUCAAUAGCAUCAUCACAAUGGCGACUCAAUGUCUUUCUUUCUGGUGAAGGAGUCGGUGGAAAUGUGCAGAGAGAGAAAUUGAGUUAUCUGAACCUCGAUGCACUGCUACCAGUUGCUGAGAUACUCUGCAUUGUGCCGCCUGUUAUCUGUUCGAUCGGUUGUCUAGUAGGGUUGAUUAUCCCGGGUUUAUCCAAGCUUUUUCAGGUGUCACUGGGAAGUAGAUUUUUUGUUUUCCAGUGUGUUCUGUUGGCAGGAGCAGUGGUGAUUGGGGCUUUGAUUCGGGAAAGACGGUGGAAGAGAAUAUGCCGGGAUGAUGGCUUGGGUGUUGAUGUGGUUGCUAGAGUUGAGAAGGUGGAGGAGGAUCUUAGGAGCUCUGCGAGGAUGAUUCAGGUGCUCUCAAGACAGCUUGAGAAGCUCAGUAUUAGGUUUAGAGUCACAAGGAAGGCCUUGAAGGAGCCCAUUUCAGAGACUGCAGCUUUGGCACAAAAGAACUCUGAGGCCACUCGCGUACUAGCAAUGCAAGAAGAUAAUCUUGAGAAGGAGCUUGGGGAGAUUCAGAAAGUAUUGUUGGCAAUGCAGGAACAACAGCAAAAACAACUUGAGCUGAUUCUUGCUAUUGGGAAGGCAGGGAAGCUAUUAGAGAACAAGACAGAGACGGGCAGACGCCAAGCUUCGACAGAACUUGGUAAAUCAGUUCCUGUGGAGGAAAUAAAACAUUUGGGAGUCCAAACGGGAUUAGGAACAAGCAACGACAAAGCUUAGCCACACCGUGAACCCUGAUUCUUCAUCCCUAUGGGAAAAGCACAAACCUCUUGUAUUUAUUUGACGUAAGAAUCACUGAAAUGCAUUGGUGGGAGCUAUUUUGGGGAAUAAAUGUGUGUGAACUUUGUAAAAAUUUUUCGAGCCAUUGAAUAUUCAAGAAGUAAAUUCAUCUGCAUAUUUGAUUACAUGCAGCCAUAGCUUUGGUUCUUGUUCUUCCAAAAGGAGUACAUACAACUGAAGUCCAGCCCUUAUCAAAAUACGAGCACGAUACUCCUGUCCAUGAACUUUCUUUCGGCAUGCAUGGAUCUCCGCUCCAAUCUAUCGAGGAACAAUCUGAAGGAUUUCUGCAGCAUUGAUCACCGGACCGACUGGGGAAUUCUCAUCGGGUAUCAAUGUUAUUGUUACC